AGCGAACGCUGGCGGCAGGCCUAACACAUGCAAGUCGAACGAUCCUUCGGGAUAGUGGCGGACGGGUGAGUAACACGUGGGAACGUGCCCUUUGGUUCGGAACAACUCAGGGAAACUUGAGAUAAUACCGGAUGAGCCCUUCGGGGGAAAGAUUUAUCGCCAUUGGAGCGGCCCGCGUCUGAUUAGCUAGUUGGUGAGGUAAUGGCUCACCAAGGCGACGAUCAGUAGCUGGUCUGAGAGGAUGAUCAGCCACACUGGGACUGAGACACGGCCCAGACUCCUACGGGAGGCAGCAGCGGCGAAUCCUGCGCAAUAGGCCAAAGCCUGGCGCAGCCAUGCCGCGUGAAUGAUGAAGGUCUUAGGAUUGUAAAAUUCUUUCACCGGGGACGAUAAUGUCGGUACCCGUCGAAGAAGCCCCGGCUAACUUCGUGCCAGCCGCCGCGGUAAGAC
rnacentral:rRNA from 1 species